AUUGAACGCUGGCGGCAUGCCUUACACAUGCAAGUCGAACGGCAGCACGGACUUCGGUCUGGUGGCGAGUGGCGAACGGGUGAGUAAUACAUCGGAACGUGCCCAGUUGUGGGGGAUAACUACUCGAAAGAGUAGCUAAUACCGCAUGAGAACUGAGGUUGAAAGCAGGGGAUCGUAAGACCUUGCGCAACUGGAGCGGCCGAUGGCAGAUCAGGUAGUUGGUGGGAUAAAAGCUUACCAAGCCGACGAUCUGUAGCUGGUCUGAGAGGACGACCAGCCACACUGGGACUGAGACACGGCCCAGACUCCUACGGGAGGCAGCAGUGGGGAAUUUUGGACAAUGGGCGAAAGCCUGAUCCAGCAAUGCCGCGUGCAGGAUGAAGGCCUUCGGGUUGUAAACUGCUUUUGUACGGAACGAAAAGCUUCGGGUUAAUACCCUGGAGUCAUGACGGUACCGUAAGAAUAAGCACCGGCUAACUACGUGCCAGCCGCCGCAGUAAUAC
rnacentral:rRNA from 1 species